AGGAUAAACGCUGGCGGCGUACCUAAGACAUGCAAGUCGAACGGAUCAUAUGGUUUCGGCCGUAUGGUGAGUGGCGGACGGGUGAGUAACGCGUAGGAACCUGUCAUGAAGUGGGGGAUAACGCUGGGAAACCGGCGCUAAUACCGCAUGAGGUCGCAGCAAUGCGAAGAAAGCUUUUCGCGCAAGUGGAAGGCGCUAGAUGAGGGGCCUGCGUCCGAUUAGCUUGUUGGUGGGGUAAAGGCCUACCAAGGCAUCGAUCGGUAGC
rnacentral:rRNA from 1 species